CUACGGGUGGCAGCAGUAGGGAAUAUUGGACAAUGGGCGAAAGCCUGAUCCAGCAACACCGCGUGCAUGAUGACGGCCUUCGGGUUGUAAAGUGCUUUUAGAGGAGAUGAGAAAGGACAGUAUCCUCUGAAUAAGCCUCGGCGAACUACGUGCCAGCAGCCGCGGUAAAACGUAGGAGGCAAGCGUUAUCCGGAUUUAUUGGGCGUAAAGCGCGUGCAGGCGGUCUAACAAGUUGGAUGUGAAAGCUCCCGGCUCAACUGGGAGAGGUCGUUCAAUACUGUUAGACUAGAGAAUAGGAGAGGGAGGUGGAAUUCCGGGUGUAGUGGUGAAAUGCGUAGAUAUCCGGAGGAACACCAGUGGCGAAAGCGGCCUCCUGGACUAUUUCUGACGCUAAGACGCGAAAGCUAGGGUAGCAAACGGGAUUAGAUACCCUUGUAGUC
rnacentral:rRNA from 1 species